AGAGUUUGAUCAUGGCUCAGAUUGAACGCUGGCGGCAGGCCUAACACAUGCAAGUCGAACGGUAACAGGAAGCAGCUUGGCUGCUUUGCUGACGAGUGGCGGACGGGUGAGUAAUGUCUGGGAAACUGCCUGAUGGAGGGGGAUAACUACUGGAAACGGUGGCUAAUACCGCAUAACGUCGCAAGACCAAAGAGGGGGACCUUCGGGCCUCUUGCCAUCAGAUGUGCCCAGAUGGGAUUAGCUUGUUGGUGAGGUAACGGCUCACCAAGGCGACGAUCCCUAGCUGGUCUGAGAGGAUGACCAGCCACACUGGAACUGAGACACGGUCCAGACUCCUACGGGAGGCAGCAGUGGGGAAUAUUGCACAAUGGGCGCAAGCCUGAUGCAGCCAUGCCGCGUGUAUGAAGAAGGCCUUCGGGUUGUAAAGUACUUUCAGCGGGGAGGAAGGUGUUGUGGUUAAUAACCGCAGCAAUUGACGUUACCCGCAGAAGAAGCACCGGCUAACUCCGUGCCAGCAGCCGCGGUAAUACGGAGGGUGCAAGCGUUAAUCGGAAUUACUGGGCGUAAAGCGCACGCAGGCGGUCUGUCAAGUCGGAUGUGAAAUCCCCGGGCUCAACCUGGGAACUGCAUUCGAAACUGGCAGGCUUGAGUCUUGUAGAGGGGGGUAGAAUUCCAGGUGUAGCGGUGAAAUGCGUAGAGAUCUGGAGGAAUACCGGUGGCGAAGGCGGCCCCCUGGACAAAGACUGACGCUCAGGUGCGAAAGCGUGGGGAGCAAACAGGAUUAGAUACCCUGGUAGUCCACGCCGUAAACGAUGUCUACUUGGAGGUUGUGCCCUUGAGGCGUGGCUUCCGGAGCUAACGCGUUAAGUAGACCGCCUGGGGAGUACGGCCGCAAGGUUAAAACUCAAAUGAAUUGACGGGGGCCCGCACAAGCGGUGGAGCAUGUGGUUUAAUUCGAUGCAACGCGAAGAACCUUACCUGGUCUUGACAUCCACAGAACUUUCCAGAGAUGGAUUGGUGCCUUCGGGAACUGUGAGACAGGUGCUGCAUGGCUGUCGUCAGCUCGUGUUGUGAAAUGUUGGGUUAAGUCCCGCAACGAGCGCAACCCUUAUCCUUUGUUGCCAGCGGUCCGGCCGGGAACUCAAAGGAGACUGCCAGUGAUAAACUGGAGGAAGGUGGGGAUGACGUCAAGUCAUCAUGGCCCUUACGACCAGGGCUACACACGUGCUACAAUGGCGCAUACAAAGAGAAGCGACCUCGCGAGAGUAAGCGGACCUCAUAAAGUGCGUCGUAGUCCGGAUUGGAGUCUGCAACUCGACUCCAUGAAGUCGGAAUCGCUAGUAAUCGUGGAUCAGAAUGCCACGGUGAAUACGUUCCCGGGCCUUGUACACACCGCCCGUCACACCAUGGGAGUGGGUUGCAAAAGAAGUAGGUAGCUUAACCUUCGGGAGGGCGCUUACCACUUUGUGAUUCAUGACUGGGGUGAAGUCGUAACAAGGUAACCGUAGGGGAACCUGCGGUUG
rnacentral:rRNA from 1 species